rnacentral:rRNA from 1 species
GAUGAACGCUAGCGACAGGCCUAACACAUGCAAGUCGAGGGGCAGCACAAUGCGUAGCAAUACAAAUGGUGGCGACCGGCGCACGGGUGAGUAACACGUAUGCAACCUACCUAUAAGUGGGGAAUAACCCGGAGAAAUCCGGACUAAUACCGCAUAAUACUUGUUAAUCUGCAUGGAUUACAAGUUAAACAUUUAUGGCUUAUAGAUGGGCAUGCGUAUGAUUAGUUAGUUGGUGAGGUAACGGCUCACCAAGACAUCGAUCAUUAGGGGUUCUGAGAGGAAGGUCCCCCACACUGGUACUGAGACACGGACCAGACUCCUACGGGAGGCAGCAGUGAGGAAUAUUGGUCAAUGGGGGGAACCCUGAUCCAGCCAUGCCGCGUGAGGGAAGAAGGUCCUCUGGAUUGUAAACCUCUUUUUGGCAGGAAACAAACCUGCGCUAUACGCGCAGCUGAGGGUACCUGCAGAAUAAGCACCGGCUAACUCCGUGCCAG